GAUGGCAGCCAUAUCACCCUGUAGCCCAAGACUGGUUGCCCACUGAAGCUAAGCAGGGCUGAGCCUGGUCAGUACCUGGAUGGGAGACCUCCUGGGAAAACUAGGUUGCUGCUGGAA
ensembl:rRNA 5S_rRNA 5S ribosomal RNA